rnacentral:rRNA from 1 species
GAUGAACGCUAGCUACAGGCUUAACACAUGCAAGUCGAGGGGUAGCAGGGUAGCAAUACCGCUGACGACCGGCGCACGGGUGAGUAACACGUAUCCAACCUUCCCAUAACUCGGGGAUAGCCUUUCGAAAGAAAGAUUAAUACCCGAUAGUACUUAAGAAAGGCAUCUUUUUUAAGUUAAAGAUUUAUUGGUUAUGGAUGGGGAUGCGUUCCAUUAGAUAGUUGGUGAGGUAACGGCUCACCAAGUCUUCGAUGGAUAGGGGUUCUGAGAGGAAGGUCCCCCACAUUGGUACUGAGACACGGACCAAACUCCUACGGGAGGCAGCAGUGAGGAAUAUUGGUCAAUGGGCGAGAGCCUGAACCAGCCAAGUAGCGUGAAGGAUGAAGGUCCUAUGGAUUGUAAACUUCUUUUAUAGUAGAAUAAAGUGACCCACGUGUGGAUUUUUGUAUGUAUACUAUGAAUAAGGAUCGGCUAACUCCGUGCCAGCCGCCGCCGUAAGAC